rnacentral:rRNA from 1 species
GGUUCGAUCAUGGCUCGAAUUGAACGCUGGCGGGAUGCUUUACAUGCAGUCGAACGGCAGCACGGACUUCGGUCUGGUGGCGAUGGCGAACGGGUGAGUAAUGUAUCGGAACGUGCCUAGUAGCGGGGAUAACUACGCGAAAGCGUAGCUAAUACCGCAUACGCCCUUCGGGGGAAAGCGGGGGGACCUUCGGGCCUCGCACUAUUGAAACGGCCGAUAUCCAGCGGAUUAGCUAGUUGGUGGGAGUAACGGCUCGCAAGGCGACAGCGAUCCGUAGCUGGUUUGAGAGGACGACCAGCCACACUGGGACUGAGACCUGGCCCAGACUCCUACAGGAGGCAGCGGUGAAAUUUUGGACAAUGGAAACCUGAUCCAAGCCAUCCCGCGUGUGCGAUGAAGGCCUUCGGGUUGUAAGCGCGCACAGCGGGAAAGAAACGGCACGGGAUAAUACCCCGUGCAACUGACAGUACCUGCAGAAUAAGCACCGGCUAACUACGUGCCAGCAGCCGCGGUAUUACGUAGGAGUGCAAGCGUUAAUCGGAAUUACUGGGCGUAAAGCGUGCCAGGCGGUUCGGAAAGAAAAGAUGUGAAAUCCCAGAAGCUUAACUUUGGAACUGCGUUUUCCAACUUGCGAGCUAGAGUGUGUGUCAGAGGGGGAGGUGGAAUUCCACAUGUGCAGUGUUACGUAGAUAUGGAGGAACACCGAUGGCGAAGGCAGCCUCCUGGGAUAACACUGACGCUCGCUGCGAAAAGCAUUAGAGGGGAGCAAACAGGAUUAGAUACCCUGGUAGUCCACGCCCUAAACGAUGUCAACUAGCUGUUGGGGCCUUCGGGCCUUGGUAGCGCAGCUAACGCGUGAAGUUGUCCAUAUAGGAGUACGGUCGCAAGAUUAAAACUCAAAGAUUGACGGGGACCGCACAAGCGGUGGAUGAUGUGGAUUAAUUCGAUGCAACGCGAAAAACCUUACCUACCCUUGACAUGGAAUCCCGAAGAGAUUUGGGAGUGCUCGCAAGAGAACCGGAACACAGGUGCUGCAUGGCAUGUCGUCAGCUCGUGUCGUGAGAUGUUGGGUUAAGUCCCGCAACGAGCGCAACCCUUGUCAUGAGUUGCUACGAAAGGGCACUCUAAAUAUGGGGGCCUAUGACAAACCGGAGGAAGGUGGGGAUGACGUCAAGUCCUCAUGGCCCUUAUGGGUAGGGCUUCACGUCAUACAAUGGUCGGGACAGAGGGUCGCCAACCCGCGAGGGGGGAGCCAAUCCCAGAAACCCGAUCGUAGUCCGGAUCGCAGUCUGCAACUCGGCUGCGUGAAGUCGGAAUCGCUAGUAAUCGCGGAUCAGCAUGUCGCGGUGAAUACGUUCCCGGGUCUUGUACACCGCCCGUCACACCAUGGGAGUGGGUUUUACCAGAAGUAGUUAGCCUAACCGUGUAAGGGGAGGGCGAUUACCACAGUAGUUCGGCUGGGGUGAAGUCGUAACAAGGUAA